CCCUUAGAUGUUCUGGGCCGCACGCGCGCUACAAUGAUGAAUUCAACGAGUUUAUAACCUUGGUUGAAAAGCCUGGGUAAUCUUUUGAACUUUCGUCGUGAUGGGGCUAGACCCUUGCAAUUAUUGGUCUCCAACGAGGAAUUCCUAGUAAACGCAAGUCAUCAGCUUGCAUUGAUUACGUCCCUGCCCUUUGUACACACCGCCCGUCGCACCUACCGAUUGAAUGGUCCGGUGAAAUCUUCGGAUUGAGACUUUGAUUUCUUCACGGAAAACGCUGUUUUAAGAAGUUGAUUAAACCUUACCAUUUAGAGGAAGGUGAAGGCGUAACA
rnacentral:rRNA from 1 species